ensembl:snRNA U2 U2 spliceosomal RNA
AUAAUUUCUUGGCCUUUUGGCUAAGAUCAGGUGUAGUAUCUGUUCUUACCAGUUUAAAAAUUAUAAUUUGUAAAUUGAAAAAUUAUGAUUUAUUAAUUUUCCUUCUGACUAUAA